GGUGCCAGCAGCCGCGGUAAUUCCAGCUCCAAUAGCGUAUAUGAAAGUUGUUGCAGUUAAAAAGCCCGUAGUUGAACCUUGGGCCUGGCUGGCCGGUCCGCCUCACCGCGUGCACUGGUCCGGCCGGGUCUUUCCUCCUGGCUAGCCGCAUGCCCUUCACUGGGUGUGCCGGGGAACCAGGACUUUUACUUUGAAAAAAUUAGAGUGUUCAAAGCAGGCCUAUGCUCGAAUAGAUUAGCAUGGAAUAAUAGAAUAGGACGUGUGGUUCUAUUUUGUUGGUUUCUAGGACCGCCGUAAUGAUUAAUAGGGAUAGUCGGGGGUGUCAGUAUUCGGCUGUCAGAGGUGAAAUUCUUGGAUUAGCCGACGACUAACUACUGCGAAAGCAUUCACCAAGGAUGUUUUCAUUAAUCAGUGGACGAAAGUUAGGGGAUCGAAGACGAUCAGAUACCGUCGUAGUCUUAACCAUAAACUAUGCCGACUAGGGAUCGGGCGAUGUUAUCAUUUCGACUCGCUCGGCACCUUACGAGAAAUCAAAGUUUUUGGGUUCUGGGGGGAGUAUGGUCGCAAGGCUGAAA
rnacentral:rRNA from 1 species